rnacentral:tRNA from 4 species
GCGGAAGUGGUGGAACGGCAGACACGCUGGUUUUAGGUACCAGUGCCCUCGGGCGUGCGGGUUCAACUCCCGCCUUCCGCACCA